rnacentral:tRNA from 1 species
GCGGGUAUAACGCUGCUAUUGUUUUCGGCAGCUUUCAAUUAUACCUUUGAAUUGUAGCAAUAACGCGCAGCGCCGAAUACAUACGGAAUAGCUACAAUGAACCUUGCCAAGGUUGGGGUCGAGGGUUCGAAUCCCUUCGCCCGCUCCA